GAAAUGCGAUAAGUAAUGUGAAUUGCAGAAUUCAGUGAAUCAUCGAAUCUUUGAACGCACAUUGCGCCCGCCAGCAUUCUGGCGGGCAUGCCUGUCCGAGCGUCAUUUCAACCAUCAAGCCCCCGGGCUUGUGCUGGGGACCUGCGGCUGCCCGCAGGCCCUGAAAACCAGUGGCGGGCUCGCUGUCACCCCGAGCGUAGUAGCAUAACCUCGCUUAGGGCGUGCCGCGGGCUCCCGCCGUAAAACCCCCAAAACCCCAAAGGUUGACCUCGGAUCAGGUAGGAAGACCCGCUGAACUUAA
rnacentral:misc_RNA from 1 species